AGAGUUUGAUCCUGGCUCAGAACGAACGCUGGUGGCAUGCCUAAUACAUGCAAGUCGAACGAGAAAGCUCUUCGGAGUGAGUACAGUGGCGCACGGGUGAGUAACGCGUAGGUAACAUACCUUUUGGUGGGGGACAACAUCGGGAAACCGGCGGGAAACCGGUGCUAAUACCGCAUAAGCAAGAAAUUGGAAAGGUGGCCUUUGGCUAUCGCCGGAAGAUUGGCCUGCGUGACAUUAGCUUGAUGGUGGGGUAAUGGCCUACCAUGGCUACGAUGUCUAGCUGGUCUGAGAGGAUGAUCAGUCACACUGGAACUGAGACACGGUCCAGACUCCUACGGGAGGCAGCAGUAGGGAAUAUUGCGCAAUGGGGGAAACCCUGACGCAGCAAUGCCACGUGAGUGAGGAAGGUCUUCGGAUUGUAAAGCUCUGUCCUAUAGGAAGAACUGCCUUAGGUAACUCUAAAGUUUGACGGUACUAUAGAAGAAAGCACCGGCUAACUCCGUGCCAGCAGCCGCGGUAAUACGGAGGGUGCAAGCGUUGUUCGGAUUUAUUGGGCGUAAAGCGCGCGCAGGCGGAUUAGCAAGUCAGAUGUGAAAUCCCAGGGCUCAACCCUGGAACUGCGUCUGAAACUGUUAGUCUAGAAUCAUAGAGGGGGAAGGGGAAUUUCACGUGUAGGGGUAAAAUCCGUAGAGAUGUGAAGGAACACCAGUGGCGAAGGCGCCUUCCUGGAUAUGUAUUGACGCUGAGGCGCGAAAGCGUGGGGAGCAAACAGGAUUAGAUACCCUGGUAGUCCACGCCGUAAACGAUGAGUACUAGCCCUUGGAGGUAUUGACCCCUUCAGGAGCAAAGCUAACGCAUUAAGUACUCCGCCUGGGAAGUACGGUCGCAAGACUAAAACUCAAAGGAAUUGACGGGGGCCCGCACAAGAGGUGGAUUAUGUGGUUUAAUUCGAAGCUACGCGCAGAACCUUACCUAGGCUUGAAAUCCUACGAAUCCGACGUAAUUGUUGGAGUGCUCGCAAGAGAAUGUAGUGACAGGUGCUGCAUGGCUGUCGUCAGCUCGUGUUGUGAAAUGUUGGGUUAAGUCUCGCAACGAGCGCAACCCCUAUCUUUAGUUGCCAGCAUUAAGUUGGGCACUCUAGAGAGACUGCCCGGGUUAACCGGGAGGAAGGUGGGGAUGACGUCAAGUCCUCAUGGCCCUUAUGCCUAGGGCUACACACGUAAUACAAUGGUGCAUACAAAGGGAAGCGAUCGCGCGAGCGUUAGCAAAUCUCAAAAAGUGCAUCUCAGUCCGGAUUGGAGUCUGCAACUCGACUCCAUGAAGUUGGAAUCGCUAGUAAUCGUGGAUCAGCACGCCACGGUGAAUACGUUCCCGGGCCUUGUACACACCGCCCGUCACACCAUGGGAGUUGAUUUCAUUUUAAGACGUGACUCUAACUUCGGAGGAGAGCGUCUACAGUGGGAGCGAUGACUGGGGUGAAGUCGUAACAAGGUAAAUC
rnacentral:rRNA from 1 species